rnacentral:rRNA from 1 species
UACGGAGGGUGCGAGCGUUGUUCGGAAUCACUGGGCGUAAAGCGCGUGUAGGCGGCCUGCUAAGUCUGAUGUGAAAGCCCGAGGCUCACCCUCGGAAGUGCAUUGGAAACUGGCAGACUGGAGUCCCGGAGAGGAGGGUGGAAUUCCUGGUGUAGCGGUGAAAUGCGUAGAUAUCAGGAGGAACACCGGUGGCGAAGGCGGCUACCUGGACAGAAACUGACGCUGAGGCGCGAAAGCUAGGGGAGCAAACAGG